UACGUAGGUGGCAAGCGUUGUCCGGAUUUAUUGGGUUUAAAGGGUGCGUAGGCGGCUUUGUAAGUCAGUGGUGAAAUAUGGCAGCUCAACUGUCAAGGUGCCAUUGAUACUGCGGAGCUUGAGUACAGAUGAGGUAGGCGGAAUUGACGGUGUAGCGGUGAAAUGCUUAGAUAUGACAUAGAACACCAAUUGCGAAGGCAGCUUACUACGGAUUGAUUGACACUGAGGCACGAAAGCGUGGGGAUCAAACAGG
rnacentral:rRNA from 1 species